CAUUUUUACGAGAAAAAUAGCAUCGUUUAAAUAAUACCUGGACCAUAUGGCACCAGUAAUCAUCAGACUUGCAGUUUGCGUAAGAGAAAUCGUGUUUGGAGGUCGCUUCAUGUCACCCAAUCCUGCUAACACCAAACCCCAUUUAAACGAUGUAAAAAAACAGGACGAAGUUUUGCUGGAAGGAGGCAAGAUAUUCGUAUCAUUAACCGUUGAUAAGCACUGUUCUUCUUCGGUGGAGGCAUCGUAUGAUGGUAAUUAAUUUUUAUUUAUUCGAUCGUAAAAUCGUUUUUUGUCAUAAAGUUUGACAGGAAAAAAAUGAUAUGUGGGAUAAUAGAAGGUUUGACUUGGUCAUACUGAAGUUUGAUUAUACCUAGUGAUGUUAAUAAAUAAAGCUUAUUUCGAGAAAUUAAAAAUAUGAACACGUUUAGAUAAUAUAAAUAUUUGUAAUUAUAGUUAAUUAAUUAGGAUAACAAUUAAGAUAUUACUUAUUUAAUAGAUGCGUUUAUGGUUACGAUUGUGAUACCAUUGCGUAUUAGAUGAUCUUAAAUUAAAAAAGACGUACGUAUAAAAAAGUAAAAGAACAUUUUGUUUAUAAACUUGUGUAAUAAAAAUUAUUAGAAUAAUUUAUCGUAAUAAAGAACAGAAAAUUGAAA